AAUAAGUGCAGUUUUACACUGUUCAUAUCUAAUGUUUGACCAUUCGUCUUAUUUGAAAUUUUUUUACGAUUAAUAUUUUUAUUGUUACUAGAUGAUAAAACAUGAAUAGUACUUUAUGUGUGACUAACUUUUUUUAAUUUUCUCAUAAAUUUUUCAAAUAAGACGGACGGUUAAAUGUUGAACACAGAUUUCCACGGCUGCACUUAUU
rfam:Oryza sativa Japonica Group DNA, chromosome 3, cultivar: Nipponbare, complete sequence.